GACGAACGCUGGCGGCGUGCCUAAUACAUGCAAGUCGAACGCAUUUUCUUUCACCGUAGCUUGCUACACCGAAAGAAAAUGAGUGGCGAACGGGUGAGUAACACGUGGGUAACCUGCCCAUCAGCGGGGGAUAACACUUGGAAACAGGUGCUAAUACCGCAUAAUUCCAUUUACCGCAUGGUAGAUGGAUGAAAGGCGCUUUUGCGUCACUGAUGGAUGGACCCGCGGUGCAUUAGCUAGUUGGUGGGGUAACGGCCUACCAAGGCUGCGAUGCAUAGCCGACCUGAGAGGGUGAUCGGCCACACUGGGACUGAGACACGGCCCAGACUCCUACGGGAGGCAGCAGUAGGGAAUCUUCGGCAAUGGACGCAAGUCUGACCGAGCAACGCCGCGUGAGUGAAGAAGGUUUUCGGAUCGUAAAACUCUGUUGUUAGAGAAGAACAAGGACGAGAGUGGAAAGUUCAUCCCUUGACGGUAUCUAACCAGAAAGCCACGGCUAACUACGUG
rnacentral:rRNA from 1 species